GACGAACGCUGGCGGCGUGCUUAACACAUGCAAGUCGAACGGUAAGGCCCUUUCGGGGGUACACGAGUGGCGAACGGGUGAGUAACACGUGGGUGAUCUGCCCUGCACUUUGGGAUAAGCCUGGGAAACUGGGUCUAAUACCGAAUAGGACUACGAUCUGCAUGGGGUGUGGUGGAAAGCUUUUGCGGUGUGGGAUGGGCCCGCGGCCUAUCAGGGUGUUGGUGGGGUGAUGGCCUACCAAGGCGACUACGGGUAGCCGGCCUGCGAGGGGGUCCGGCCACACUGGGACUGAGAUACGGCCCAGACUCCUACGGGAGGCAGCAGUGGGGAAUAUUGCACAAUGGGCGCAAGCCUGAUGCAGCGACGCCGCGUGGGGGAUGACGGCCUUCGGGUUGUAAACCUCUUUCAGCACAGACGAAGCGCAAGUGACGGUAUGUGCAGAAGAAGGACCGGCCAACUACGUGCCAGCCGCCGCAGUAA
rnacentral:rRNA from 1 species